AGCUGCACAAUGGUUAAAGCGUUUGGCUGCUAACUGAAAGGUUGGUGGUUCAAGCCCACCAGCUG
rnacentral:tRNA from 1 species